rnacentral:misc_RNA from 1 species
AGGGACAAUGCCGCUCGAUUUCUCGGCACAUGAGUCUUGCCAAUGUUGCCAGCAACGUAAAAAACGUAGUUCUUUCUUUAUAGCUACAAACUGCUAUGCCGCGAUCCCCUACUCUUACCCCGCCAGUUCCGUCCCUCCGGUGGCCAGGAAAACCUUUUGCCGACCAUCGUUUACCAGAGACUUCAAACUUCUGCUAUUCCGGUUCAUUUGAGCGAGUGUGCGCUAGAUGACGGCUGUCCACUCCAGGCGCCCGACCGGCUGACAUCGCGAACUUCCCGCCGGAUUCUGCACGCGGGGCCACGAUGCCAUGAUGCCACGAUGCUCCUCUCGGGACAUGAUUCUGCGCGCAAGGCUGUGGUCUUUGGCCUGUGCGACCUUUGAGUCCAGCCAUUGCCAUGGUCCUCUUCCUUGCGUCCCACGGUACCUACUCCGCGGGUGAUUCCUCCGAAGCUCCUCGUCCGUUCUGGAGUUCCAAGGGAUAUGUUCCUGGCUGGAUUGUGGCAACCACUGGCUGUCUUGCUGCUGGCCAUAGACAUUAUGUCGCUGCUAUAUCGCUAUGGGCUUCAGCUUCGAGACGCAGGACUUAUUUCCCCACGCAAGACCGAAUCCCAGUCAGACAGAAUCGUAAUCCAGCAGGACAGAAGCGAUCCUUUGCAAGAGCCCAAAUCUAACAAGCCGCCGCAUCUUUUGACUUGGCCAUCGACAACUAUCUCAAGGACUUUGGCCAUGGCAACCAAGGAGCAGCUGCGCUGUCUACUAGAC